CAGUAGCCGCGGUAACACGUAGGUGGCAAGCGUUGUCCGGAAUUAUUGGGCGUAAAGGGCUCGCAGGCGGUUUCUUAAGUCUGAUGUGAAAGCCCCCGGCUCAACCGGGGAGGGUCAUUGGAAACUGGGAAACUUGAGUGCAGAAGAGGAGAGUGGAAUUCCACGUGUAGCGGUGAAAUGCGUAGAGAUGUGGAGGAACACCAGUGGCGAAGGCGACUCUCUGGUCUGUAACUGACGCUGAGGAGCGAAAGCGUGGGGAGCGAACAGGAUUAGAUACCCCUGUAGUCCCUGUCUCUUAUAC
rnacentral:rRNA from 1 species